UAUCAAACUUUUUUUUUAUUUUCCUCUUCCUCUUGGUCGAAUACCCUCAUACCCACACAAUUAGACUUUAUUUUAGUCUCCAAAUCUGAAUUCAAGGCCUAAAGGAUCAAGCUCAAAUCGUUUCUAGUGUUCCAAGUGUUGUGAGUUAAAAGAUCAAAGAUCAAGCUCCUUCUCAUCUAUCAUUUUUUUUUCUCCAUCGUAACACUUGGACACGAGAAGGUUAUUUCAAGCUUGGGGCUUUUCUUGUCUUUAUUUGGUAUAUGGAGUAUUAUGCUGUACCGGCCAGGAGCAAAUGCAUAGGACGAUGACCGUGACACGCUAGGGUGGACUCGGGCCUUAGUGACAUAAAACAGAGCUAGACUUAGUUUAAUUACAUUAUGUACUCUUUAUUUCAGUAGAUUUAAGACAAUGUAACAUGAUGGUUCUUGUUUUGAACAAUGUAUUCCACCCUUGGGUGAUGAAUAAAAUAUUAUU
rnacentral:lncRNA from 1 species